GAUUGACUUUGAUCUGGCUCAGGAUGAACGCUGGCGGCGUGCUAACACAUGCAAGUCGAGCGAUUCUCUUAGGAGAAGAGCGGCGGACGGGUGAGUAACGCGUGGGUAACCUGCCCUGUACACACGGAUAACAUACCGAAAGGUAUGCUAAUACGGGAUAACAUAUUUUGAUGGCAUCAUCGAAAUAUCAAAGCUCCGGCGGUACAGGAUGGACCCGCGUCUGAUUAGCUAGUUGGUGAGGUAAUGGCUCACCAAGGCGACGAUCAGUAGCCGACCUGAGAGGGUGAUCGGCCACAUUGGAACUGAGACACGGUCCAAACUCCUACGGGAGGCAGCAGUGGGGAAUAUUGCACAAUGGGCGAAAGCCUGAUGCAGCAACGCCGCGUGAGCGAUGAAGGCCUUCGGGUCGUAAAGCUCUGUCCUACAAGGAAGAUAAUGACGGUACUUGAGGAGGAAGCCCCGGGUA
rnacentral:rRNA from 1 species